rnacentral:rRNA from 1 species
UACGGAGGGAGCUAGCGUUGUUCGGAAUUACUGGGCGUAAAGCGCACGUAGGCGGCUUUGUAAGUUAGAGGUGAAAGCCCGGGGCUCAACUCCGGAACUGCCUUUAAGACUGCAUCGCUUGAAUCCAGGAGAGGUGAGUGGAAUUCCGAGUGUAGAGGUGAAAUUCGUAGAUAUUCGGAAGAACACCAGUGGCGAAGGCGGCUCACUGGACUGGUAUUGACGCUGAGGUGCGAAAGCGUGGGGAGCAAACCGG